UGGGCAAACUACGGCCCGCGGGCCACAUACGGCCCGUUAGGCUUUUUAAUCCGGCCCGCCGAACUUGUCCAAAUUAUAGUAAAAACCUCCUUUUUUUCCCCUUUCCCUGCAAUGCCCACGUUUCCCCAAUAGAUGGCGCACUCAAAACACAUUGACCGUUGUUGGAGUGGCGCGUAUUUCUCUUUAUUUCACUUUAAUUGUCACUUCGUUUCACGUCACCAUUAAGCCCUUCUGUGAAAAUGAGCGGACCAAAGAGAAGGAAAGUGGACAGCGAAUGCCGAGUGUUUAAUAAGGAGUGGACAACAAAAUACUUCUUCACUGAAGUCCGAUCAACGGCUGUAUGUCUGAUAUGCCAAGAAGCUGUUGCGGUUUUCAAAGAGUACAAUAUCAGCCGUCACUUUGCCACGAAGCAUGCAAACUAUGCUAGCAAGCAGUCAACACAAGAACGGGCGGCUACUGCUCAGAGGUUGGCAGCUAAUUUACAGAGUCAACAGAACUUUUUUCACCGACAAACUGCAAUUCAAGAGUCAAGUACCAAGGCAAGUUAUUUGCUGGCAUUCAAAUUAGCAAAGGCUAGCAAGCCUUUCUCCGAAGGCGAGUUUUUGAAAGAGUGCAUGGUAGAGACAGCAGGUCUCUUGUGUCCGGAGAGCAAAGCCAAGUUUGAAAAAAUCAGUUUAGCAAAAUCAGUUCAUUCAGUUCAAGUCUCUUAAACUGAAUGACUUUUACGCUUCACUUAACGAGACCACGUUUCCAAACCUCCGGAGGACGGCGCAGAAGAUGCUGGUGUUGUUUGGCUCGACCUACGUGUGUGAGCAGACGUUUAGCGUCAUGAAAAUCAACAAAGCCCAUCACAGAUCCAAGUUAACUGACCAACACCUCAGAUCUGUCCUGAGAAUUGCCACAACAAAACUAACUCCAGACUUUGAUGCACUGGCAAAAAAGGGAGACAAACAACACUGUUCCCACUGAAAUGGACCUGAGCCCAAGGACCAUGCCUCAGGACUACCUGGCAUGAUGACUCCUUGCUGUCCCCAGUCCACCUGGCCGUGCUGCUGCUCCAGUUUCAAUUGUUCUGCCUGCGGCUAUGAAACCCUGACCUGUUCACCGGACGUGCUACCUGUCCCAGACCUGCUGUUUUCAACUCUCUAGAGACAGCAGGAGCGGUAGAGAUACAUUUACUCCUGAGGUGCUGACCUGUUGCACCAUCGACAACUACUGUGAUUAUUAUUAUUUGACCAUGCUGGUCAUCUAUGAACAUUUGAACAUCUUGGCCAUGUUCUGUUAUAAUCUCCACCCGGCACAGCCAGAAAAGGACUGGCCACCCCUCAUAGCCUGGUUCCUCUCUAGGUUUCUUCCUAGGUUUUGGCCUUUCUAGGGAGUUUUUCCUAACCACCGUGCUUCUACACCUGCAUUGUUUGCUGUUUGGGGUUUUAGGCUGGGUUUCUGUACAGCACUUUGAGAUAUCAGCUGAUGUAAGAAGGGCUAUAUAAAUACAUUUGAUUUGAUUAGAUUACAUGUAUAGUUUAAAAUGUAAAUUCCUUCUAAUUGUAUUGAGGCUACAAAAUCCUCACAGUUGCACUUGGAGUUUUGCUAUAUUCUCCUAAAAGAAGACACCUUUAGGGACAGCUCUAACAACAAUUUGAUACUCCUCAGUAGUGAAUGUAAAAUUGUGUGUUCUCAUAAAUUCUGGACUAUCAUAUAGUUGUCCAUCAUUAUUCAAUAAUUGUUUAACCCAAAUAAUGUUGCUGUCAAACCAGUUUUGGUAAAAUAAAGACUUGUUUUUGUA